GGCAUCCACAAUGCUGAUAUGGAUGCCAGCAAGGGAUGUGAGACCUGCUAUGGAGGACCUUGAGGAACCCGCCCCCAAUAGAUAUAUAGGAAGAAAACACCAGUCUCCCAGGACCGACAAGAAAUGAAGAUUGUGAAUCACAGCAGCAGAAUGGAUAUCCGCAUGCCUUGUGCUGCCAACAUCCCUCAGGGAGACCGGAAGAGCUGUGAUUGCACUCCCUAACGAAGUCAACGUUUUUUUAAAUAAGGUGCGGAAAACACGGCCUUGCUCUUUACUUCACUGGGCAAUAAUCUCCUUAGUGAGCCUUUUUUCCACUGCAAACUACCUUCCAGGAUUAGCCCAGAACAGACAACAAAUGUACCCUGCAAACAAAAACGUAUGGAAAUACCUGA